AGUUUUUUUUUUUUGAUUAUUUAUUUAUUUCAUCAUUCAUCAUUAGUACAGAAGGAGGUCCCGGAGUUACAAGAACUGUCAGGGGGACCUCCUAUUAGUAAUUUAACAAUGCAGUAAUUAAUACAUUAUGGCAACAUAACAGCAACAGACAUCAGAAUACACGAAGUUAGUGGAGCAAAUAAUCAAAUACAAGAAAGGUGCUUACAAUAAUUGAAGUUCAAAAUACAAGCAAAUGAAAUACAUACCGCAUAUGAAUAAAUAAAUAAGUAGUAAUUGACACGUUAUGGAAACAUAGGAAUGACAUAUAUCAAAGAACACGAGGUUAAUGUAGCAGAUAAUUAGAAACAAAUAUAUGCUCACAAUACGCAAAGUACAAGUGUUAUAUAGACUAUGGGACAAAAAAUUCCAAACGUCUAAAAAG